rnacentral:lncRNA from 1 species
GAUACGAGGCAUCCAAAUCUGCAUUCCCAUCCCCUUCUGAACCCGAUGAGACAUCCGUCUCAGUCGAACCAAACUCUCGAACCCGUCCAGAAGUUGAGGAUGCAACUUACGAUUUAAUCGGUUAAAAAAAAAGGUUUAGCCAUAAAGAUUCCGGUUAAAGAGAGUUCUAACGUGGGGGGCGACGGCAUAUAAUUACCUUAAAAGGGGGUGCCCUCCCUGAGACUUCCUCAGUCAUAGUUUUCUGCUUGAUAGACUAACUAAUUACUAAAAAGAAUUGCCAGAUCAACCAUCAA